rnacentral:lncRNA from 10 species
CACGAGGUCAGGAGAUUGGGACCAACCUGGCAAACAGGGUGAAACCCUGUCUCUACUAAAAAUACAAAAUACAAAAAAAAUCAGCCUGGCAUGGUGGCGGGCGCCUGUGGUCCCAGCUACUCUGGAGGCUGACGCAGGAGAAUGCCGUGAACCCGGGAGGCGGAGCUUGCAGAGAGCCGGAGAUCACGCCACUGCACUCCAGCCUGGGCUACAGAGCAAGACUCCGUCUCAAAAAAAACCAAAACAAAACAAAACAAAAAAAACACCCAGUUUUUCCAUGGAGUGAUAGAAUUUAAUUGAUGAGCUUGACGAGCUUAAUUACAGAAGGGAGAGCUCCAAAAUACAUAUUAAGGUCAUUCCUCGCUCAUUGGGAACACUGAGUCAAAGAAAAUAAGUUUGCAAGAAGACAAGGAAUGACCUGUAGGCAUACUAAGCCUGCAUUUGAGACUGACAAGGAGUGAGAGAUACUGUUUUGAGUGUGUGUGAAAAUGAAGAGAAUGAAUCAUCUUUUACUGAUUAUAAUCUAUAACUUGAGUUUGCAAGUCAAAGAACUUCUGAAACAGGGGAAAUUAAACAAGGCUACAAGCACUUUUUGAAACCCAUUUAUGCCAUCAACAACAAGGAAUCUAAUUACAAUUUUGAGAUGCUCUAGGGAAAAAAAAUAACCACCACAAGCUGAAGGAUUGCAAAAGCAGGGAUACAAUAUCUGUCAAAUACAUCUGGAGACUGCUGCAUCCAGCUAGGCAUACAUGUUGCUAAAAAUCAAGCCCUGAAAUCUAACUUCAAGUUUCAAGUGGACUUUGUGGUCUCAUUCUGGUCUUCAUAUGUUACUGUCACAAAACCACCAUGGAGUUCAGCAUAAUUCAUUGCGGCUGGUGGUCUUCAAUCUGAAGAAGCCAGAAACAGGAAUAGCAAGAGUUAUGGGAUGUAGCAGCAUUUUGAUUCUCUAUAAUGUUGAUUUGGAGUCCACUCAAAAGACUUGGAGGUAUAUCAGACUUUGAAUUUACACCUUAUCGUCUCUGCCUGGCUUCAGGCAACAUCUGACUUCUAAAACAACAAAACAUGAGGAAUUAAUUCGUUUUUAAACCUAGAAAUUUUCUUUUCUGGCCAUCAGUGGAAAUAGUAUUAAAAAAAAAAGGAAAUAAUAGAAUGAAUCGCAGUGAUUACAGAGACAAAUCCUUAAAGAUUCUUUAUGCCAAGAUCCAUUUGGAAACACGUAUUCUCCAGUGUCAUAGCUUGGAAAGACUAAUGACCUUGCAUUGAUGAACUGGAAAUAGCAGAAGGCAUGGAACCCACUUGAUAGUAAAAAAAAUACUGUAUGUGUCAAUUGAUUGCAAGAUUGUUCUGGAAUGGGGAUGUUGCGAAGGAACAGUCUCCUGGAAGUCUCACUCUAUUUAGUGUUGUUUAGUGGGUUAGAUUCUUCCUGUGACCCAGGUGAAUACAGGAUCCUAGAAUUUCUGAGUUGCAAUUUCUCCUGUUUAUAAUUUUUCAAAACCUUAAGAUUUUACAGCAAACUACCUCUCAGUGAAAUAAAUGGAAACUAUCUGUUUGAUUAACUGAAGGGUUAAUCAAAUUUAAAAAUAGGAAGCAUUUUUCCAUAUACAUGCAGGAUUACACCUCAUUCCACAAUAACAUUAAUAUUCAUUACUACUGGGAGGUCUAGCCUGGCAGGACCACCCCAGAAUAGCAUAAUGGUGAAUAUGAUGAAUAAAUGCAUGGCAAGAUCCCAGAGACAUAUACAUCAGUUUUGUUUUAAGAAAAGCUGACCUGAAAGUUUAUUUAACCUCUGUUUGGUUAAGCAAUUAUUCUGAACAACUGAUCUUGUAAAAGCAUUCUUUGAAUUGUACUUAAACAUAGUUGCAAGAUGCCUUCCAGAAAUCAGAAACCUCACCACGUCUUUAGGAUACAGCUGCAAAUAAUGUUUCUUCUGGAUCUUUCUCUAUUAUUCUGAGUAAGUUACCUAUACAAUUUAACUCUUGAACUUUGGCAUAAGGAUUAUUUUGACCUGCAGGCAUUUGAGAAUCAGCACAUGCUAGAAGAGGUAUGAAAGCCUUCUUUUAUGUGUCUGAAAGUGGGGCAUAAAUUUCCCUAUCUGAAAAAUGCCCACUCCCUUCCCCUCCCAUCAGGAAGAGAACAAUUCUUAUCAUUAGAGAUGGAGAGGUGCUGUGAAGGUGAGUUUGCAUAAACACCCCUUGCUAAAAUAAAUCUUAUCCUCCAUUAGUCUUCCUAUGUGUUUCCUAGUCACUUCCCCACAAUUUAUUUUCCCUUUAAGUCCAAACCUCUUUUAUUAAAAUAGUAUACAGGCCCCCAAGUUUAACUGCCUUUUUGAGUAUUAUUUCUUUUUUGUGAAUGCUCAUGCACAUAAAUAUUAAUUUUAAAUGUGUGAUUUUUCUCCUGUGAAUCUGUCUUUUGCUAGUUUAAUUCACAGGCCCCUAGACGCUGACCUAACAGAGUAGAGAAAAAGUUUUUCCUCCAUGACACACAACAGACCCUGGUCAAUAAGAGCAUACGAAGGCUAUUGAAAGGAUGCAAGGUCUAUUUUGAAAUUUUCAGUGACACUGUCAGAGUAUUCCUUUGCAUACGCAUUUUGAAGAAGACAGAGGAAACAAGCAUUUUUGAGUGCUCACUUUUUGUCACUCACUGUGUUUCUAAAUGCACUCAAGUCUUCAAAGUAGAUCUUGUUUCUAAUUUACAAACGAAGCAAUUGAUGUUUAGAGAGGUCAAGUGACUUGCUCAAGGAUACACAGGUCUCUCUACUUAGCUCAUGCUCUUUCUACUGCACCUCACUUCCUCCUUAUGGCAAGCAUCAUAAAUGAGCAGCCGUGAUGAGUGUCCUGAAUAGGCUGGGGAGAGCUGAUUUAGGAUUCACAGUGUUUGUGAACAUAACUACAUGCACUUUUUCGUGAUGCCCUCUUCGAUCCAGGUUAUAUAUGUUGGAUGGGUGGCUUGGUUGAGUUGCAAUUAAUGUUGGGAGUGUCUAGAUUUUGACACGCAAAUGUUGGCUUAAAUUAUAAUAUGAAAGCUAAAAUAAUCCCAAAGCAAUUUAUUUAGAGUUUUCUCUUGGUUUACAUUUUGGCACUAUGGGGCCUCUGAGAAAAACACCCUAAAAUCUUCAGCCUGCUUUCAUGUAAUAGAAGCUGAAUAUCUUGUACUAGAAAUUUAUACAUCUGUUCAUUCUGUGACUCCCUAACUUCCUAGUGAAUAAUAAACUGAACUUGUUCAGGUUCCUCG